rnacentral:rRNA from 1 species
CAGUCGCCGCGGGAAUACGAACCGUGCAUACGUUACUCGGAAUCACUGGGCUUAAAGCGCACGUAGGCGGCGACAUAAGUUAGAGGUGAAAUCCCAUUGGCUCAACCGUGGAACUGCCUCUAAUACUGUGUUGCUUGAGGGAGAACGGGGCAUUCGGAACUUCCGGUGGAGCGGUGAAAUGUGUUGAUAUCGGAAGGAACGCCGGUGGCGAAAGCGGAAUGCUGGGUCUCUUCUGACGCUGAGGUGCGAAAGCUAGGGUAGCGAACGGGAUUAGAUACCCCCGUAGUCCCUGUCUCUUAUA